rnacentral:rRNA from 1 species
AUACGGAGGAUCCGAGCGUUAUCCGGAUUUAUUGGGUUUAAAGGGUGCGCAGGCGGCCAUUUAAGUCAGCGGUUAAAUCGUGGGGCUCAACCCCAUUCUGCCGUUGAUACUGGGUGGCUUGAUUGCGGUCGAGGUUGGCGGAAUUCGUUGUGUAGCGGUGAAAUGCAUAGAUAUGACGAAGAACACCGAUUGCGUAGGCAGCUGACCAGACCGCAAAUGACGCUCAUGCACGAAAGUGCGGGGAUCGAACAGGAUUAGAUACCCUGGUAGUCCGCACAGUAAACGAUGAAUACUUGUUUUCGGCGAUAUAAUGUCGGAGGCAAAGCGAAAGCGAUAAGUAUUCCACCUGGGGAGUACGCCGGCAACAGUGAAACUUAAAGGAAUUGACGGGG